rnacentral:rRNA from 1 species
AUUGAACGCUGGCGGCAGGCCUAACACAUGCAAGUCGAACGAGUGGCGGACGGGUGAGUAAUGUCUGGGAAACUGCCUGAUGGAGGGGGAUAACUACUGGAAACGGUAGCUAAUACCGCAUACCAUCAGAUGUGCCCAGAUGGGAUUAGCUUCUUGGUGGGGUAACGGCUCACCAAGGCGACGAUCCCUAGCUGGUGUGAGAGGAUGACCAGCCACACUGGAACGUAGACACGGCCCACACUCCUACGGGCGGCAGCAGUGGGGAAUAUUGCACAAUGGGGGCAAGCCUGAUGCAGCCAUUCGGCGUGUAUGAAGAAGGCCUUCGGGUUGUAAAGUCCUUUCAGCGUGGAGGCGUUACCCGCAGAAGAAGCACCGGCUAACUCCGUGCCAGCAGCCGCGGUAAUAC